UACAGAGGGUGCGAGCGUUAAUCGGAAUUACUGGGCGUAAAGCGCGCGUAGGCGGCUUUGCAAGCCGGAUGUGAAAUCCCCGGGCUUAACCUGGGAACUGCAUUCGGGACUGCAUUGCUAGAGUAUGGGAGAGGGAAGUGGAAUUUCAGGUGUAGCGGUGAAAUGCGUAGAUAUCUGAAGGAACAUCAGUGGCGAAAGCGACUUCCUGGACCAAUACUGACGCUCAUGUGCGAAAGCGUGGGGAGCAAAUAGG
rnacentral:rRNA from 1 species